rnacentral:rRNA from 1 species
AUACGUAGGUGGCAAGCGUUGUCCGGAAUUACUGGGUGUAAAGGGUGUGUAGGCGGGAAUGUAAGUCAGAUGUGAAAUCCCAGGGCUUAACUCUGGAGCUGCAUCUGAAACUAUGUUUCUUGAGUGCCGGAGAGGAAAGCGGAAUUCCUAGUGUAGCGGUGAAAUGCGUAGAUAUUAGGAGGAACACCAGUGGCGAAGGCGGCUUUCUGGACGGUAACUGACGCUGAGGCGCGAAAGCGGUGGGGAGC